rnacentral:tRNA from 2 species
GCGGGAAUAGCUCAGUUGGUAGAGCACGACCUUGCCAAGGUCGGGGUGGCGAGUUCGAGUCUCGUUUCCCGCUCCA